CUCAUUUCUAUUCUGGACUUUGUUUAGGGGAAAGUUAAUUUUAAAGUUCAGUAAGGACAACUAGAGGCAUGUCUAGCAGGGGACAAGAAUGCUUUCCCACUCACAGUUCAGGUUGCAGAGUUUUGCUCCUGAAUGUGUGCCAACUCCA